GAUGAACGCUAGCUACAGGCUUAACACAUGCAAGUCGAGGGACCGGCGCACGGGUGAGUAACACGUAUCCAACCUGCCCUUUACUCGGGGAUAGCCUUUCGAAAGAAAGAUUAAUACCCGAUAUAAAGGAUGGGGAUGCGUUCCAUUAGGUUGUUGGUGAGGUAACGGCUCACCAAGCCUUCGAUGGAUAGGGGUUCUGAGAGGAAUGUCCCCCACAUGGGAACGGAGACACGGGCCACACUCCGACGCGAGGCAGAAUUGAGGAAUAUUGGUCAAUGGGCGCGAGCCUGAACCAGCCAAGUAGCGUGAAGGAUGAAGGGUUAUGGGUCGUAAACUUCUUUGAGAUAAGAAUAGGUAUUAUAUGAAUAAGGAUCGGCUAACUCCGUGCCAGCAGCCGCGGUAAUUC
rnacentral:rRNA from 1 species